UACUCCGAAUGCUCUAGAUUAAAGUUUGAUCAUGGCUCAGAUCCGAACGCUNGCGGCAGGCCUAACACAUGCAAGUCGAACGGUAACAGGAAGCAGCUUGCUGCUUCGCUGACGAGUGGCGGACGGGUGAGUAAUGUCUGGGAAACUGCCUGAUGGAGGGGGAUAACUACUGGAAACGGUAGCUAAUACCGCAUAACGUCGCAAGACCAAAGAGGGGGACCUCCGGGCCUCUUGCCAUCGGAUGUGCCCAGAUGGGAUUAGCUAGUAGGUGGGGUAACGGCUCACCUAGGCGACGAUCCCUAGCUGGUCUGAGAGGAUGACCAGCCACACUGGAACUGAGACACGGUCCAGACUCCUACGGGAGGCAGCAGUGGGGAAUAUUGCACAAUGGGCGCAAGCCUGAUGCAGCCAUGCCGCGUGUAUGAAGAAGGCCUUCGGGUUGUAAAGUACUUUCAGCGGGGAGGAAGGCGAUAAGGUUAAUAACCUUGUCGAUUGACGUUACCCGCAGAAGAAGCACCGGCUAACUCCGUGCCAGCAGCCGCGGUAAUACGGAGGGUGCAAGCG
rnacentral:rRNA from 1 species